GUAAACGGCCCUUUGGAUAAAAAAAAAUUUAUUCAAGAAAACCCAUUAAAAUUCUAUAGGAAAUGUGUGUGAUAUCUAAUCCCAUAUGUUCCUCCUCCUUCCUUGUUUAGCAGCAUGGAGACUCCGGACUACUUUAGCCAAGAACAACAGGUUCCUUGUCAGACUACGAAUUCAAUUUUUCCAGAAAAAUAUACUUGUAAAAGUGAAGUGAAGUUCAAACUUAAAGGCACAAUACUGGAGGUUGUACUGAGAUUGAAAGUACUGUCUGAACUGUGGGUCCUCUUAGUCUAUAGGGAAGGAUUGGGGAGUAAGUUAAUAGAAGAUCUCCUGGUAUUAGACAAGUUUAAAACAGACCUCAGAAUUCCUUCAAAGAAGCCAGAAGGUGGUCCAGAGUAUUGUUGAAAGUAAUAGAGCAAUCAGUGGUGACUUAACAUCUGGGCUUGUUCAAGGAAAGUAAGACAUCCCUAAAACUUCUUUCAUUCCAAAGAAAUUGGGCAUGGCCAAAGCUGUAACCAUCUGUGGAUCACAGCAGAAGCUUAAUAGUGAUGGAGGGGAGGGAAUAGACUUCAUCACUGAGAUAGUCACUAAGCAAUAACAAAUCCCAGGUUGUGAGAAAGGAACCCACUAGACUAGAACCCACUGUUGCUACAACAUAUGAUCUAAAAUAUCCAGUCCCUAACAUACCAAGUAUGCAACUCAUACACUGAAAACACAAGCAGACAACAGAGUGACUAGAUGUCGUGUUAUAAGAAAAAGACUUGAAAAUUGCCAUUAAAAUAUGUUCCAGAACAAGCUGUGCACGGUGUACCUUGUAGUCUAGGCUACUCAGGAGACUGAGACAGGAGGGUCUCUAGAACCCCAAAGUUCAAGGUCAGCCUGGGCAACAUAGACUCACAUCUCAAAAUAAACAAAAAAAUGUUUCCAGAAUUAAAGAAAACUGAUUAAAGAAGUAGUGCAGCUGGGAAUGGUGAUGCAUGCCUGUGUGCUUGUGGCCAACCUGGACAACUUAAGAUUCUGUUUCAAAACACAAAAUAGUGGCUAGGGAUAUAGGGCUGAUCGUGCGCUGGACUACCAUAUGUGAGAUCCUGUGUUCAAUCCCCAGUACCACAAUAAAUAAAAGACAUUUAAGAGAAGAAAAUAGCAAUUCUGAAGUUGCAAAGAACAAUAACAUUCACUAGAGAGACUCAAUGGUAGACUUUAACUGGCAGAAGUAGUGGUAGACCAAGAGGACAGACUUAAGAAAAAUGAACAUUUCUUCAGAAACAACUCAGUGACAACCAACACAGGCAUCAGAAGCAUCAGAAGAAGAGAAAGGAAAACAAUACCCAAAUAGCAGCCCCAAACUCCCCAAAUUAACUGAAAAAAAAAUUACUUGCACAUCCAGAAACCUGUAUGAACCCUAAGUUGCAUACAUACAAAGACUUCAACAGAUAUAAAAACAACAAAUGGUGACAGAGACAAGAAGAAAGGUAGCAGGAGAAAAACAUCUUAUUUUCAUGGACAUAACAGCUGUUUGCACAGUGAAUGCAGCUAGAAGGUAAUGGAUAACUUUCAAAAUGCUGAAAGAAAAAAAAAAAACUGUCCAGCAGGAGGAUCAUGAGUUCAAAGACAGCCUCUUCAAAAGGGAGGCACUGAGCAACUCAGUGGGACCCUGUCUCUAAAUAAAAUACAGAAUAGGGCUGGGGAUGUGGCUCGGUGGCCAGUUGCCCCUGAGUUCAACCCCUAGUACCCUGCCCCCCACAAAAAGAAUUCUCCGUUCAGCAAAACCCUUCAGAAAUAAAGGUGAAAUACACUCAGAUAAAAA
rnacentral:lncRNA from 1 species